UUAGCGGUAGCUUAAAGGUAGAGCGUUUUCACUUGGAUACUAGAAAAAGGUUGGAGGUUCAAUUCCUCUCCGCUAAACCA
rnacentral:tRNA from 1 species